rnacentral:rRNA from 1 species
CGUGAACGCUGGCGGUAGGCCUAACACAUGCAAGUCGAACGGCAGCACAGUAAGAGCUUGCUCUUACGGGUGGCGAGUGGCGGACGGGUGAGGAAUACAUCGGAAUCUACUUUUUCGUGGGGGAUAACGUAGGGAAACUUACGCUAAUACCGCAUACGACCUACGGGUGAAAGCAGGGGAUCUUCGGACCUUGCGCGAUUGAAUGAGCCGAUGUCGGAUUAGCUAGUUGGCGGGGUAAAGGCCCACCAGGGCGACGAUCCGUAGCUGGUCGGAGAGGAUGAUCAGCCACACUGGAACUGAGACACGGUCCAGACUCCUGCGGGAGGCAGCAGUGGGGAAUGUUGGGCAAUGGGCGCAAGCCUGAUCCAGCCAUACCGCGUGGGUGGAGAAGGCCUUCGGGUUGUAAAGCCCUUUUGUUGGGAAAGAAAAGCAGCAGGUUAAUACCCCGCUGUUCUGACGGUACCCAAAGAAUAAGCACCGGCUAACUUCGUG